rnacentral:rRNA from 1 species
AUUGAACGCUGGCGGCAGGCCUAACACAUGCAAGUCGAGCGGUAGAGAGGAGCUUGCUUCUCUUGAGAGCGGCGGACGGGUGAGUAAUGCCUAGGAAUCUGCCUAGUGGUGGGGGAUAACGUUCGGAAACGGACGCUAAUACCGCAUACGUCCUACGGGAGAAAGCGGGGGACCUUCGGGCCUCGCGCCAUUAGAUGAGCCUAGGUCGGAUUAGCUAGUUGGUGAGGUAACGGCUCACCAAGGCGACGAUCCGUAACUGGUCUGAGAGGAUGAUCAGUCACACUGGAACUGAGACACGGUCCAGACUCCUACGGGAGGCAGCAGUGGGGAAUAUUGGACAAUGGGCGAAAGCCUGAUCCAGCCAUGCCGCGUGUGUGAAGAAGGUCUUCGGAUUGUAAAGCACUUUAAGUUGGGAGGAAGGGUAGUAACUUAAUACGUUGCUACUUUGACGUUACCGACAGAAUAAGCACCGGCUAACUUCGUGCCAGCCGCCGCGGUAACAC